rnacentral:tRNA from 1 species
AGUUAAAAAGCUAUAGGAUAAGCCCAAUGUCUUGAAAACAUUGCGAAAGAAGUUUAAGUCUUCUAUUAACUU